rnacentral:lncRNA from 1 species
GUCUGGUCGGUGGUUGUGGUUGGGUUGAGCCGAUGGGAUCAGCUGAGAAAGAGAAUUGUCUAUCUAUCUGACUCUGAGAAGAGAAAACCCGGGGUUGUAAUGACAGUCCUGAUAGACAUCAGCAGGAAUCGAGUUACAGCUGGGAACAGGGUAAAGAGGACAGCAAGAGACACGAUUGUGUUUGUUGGAGUACUAGCAGUGUGACCGUGACAGCAGCAGCUGGAACAUGAGAUCCUCUCACCUCCCCUGUGGACAAACAGGCAGCAGGGAUGAAAGACAAGCCUCUGUGUGGAACAAGACAGGGACUCUCCCUCGUACUACUUCUCUCUGUGUUGCUCUGUCUCUGGAUUCAGCUGCUGAUUCCGGGAAACUGUGAAGGCAAGGCUGAAAACCCCAACUCAACAGUCAAAUCAACUGUCAGACAGGCAGAACAGCAAAAUACAGUCAGCAUACAGAGAACAUAACAUGGUGGGUUGGCAUCAAGGUCAAAGGAAAGAUAACUUCUAACUGCAUAUAUCUGCUUUUACGUUCCUAAAAGACGAUUUAUGCUUGAUCCGGUAAUGCGGUCCAGAGGCUCCGUACGGAGGGUGUGACGCAAUUGUGGAACAUCCGGAGGCUUGCGGAUGCCAAAUCAAGCUCUCUGCGGCGAUGACAUGCACCUCCCAUGUUUUUUAACAAUGUGGCGGACUCCACAUAGCUCUGUAUAGCUCCGCAUUGACAUGAUUGGUUGACGAUAGGUGGGGGCAGUACAUCCUGUAUAAACACAAACUCAACUUCCUUGACAACAAACGUGGAGAACUUUGACGAAAAGCUAUUAGAAAAAAGUUCACAAAUAAAAGAGAUCUUUAUGAUACCUUGUGUUUGGAUUCCAAAGACACAAAUUAGUUUGAACUCCUGGAAAGAGAUCAGGGAGGUAAUGGUGAUAAAUGGGAUAAAGAAAGCCGCAUUGGCUCACAUUCAACAAAUCUGAUAUAACAAAGUGGAUAUUUGUCAAAUCCGUCAUGAUAUAUGUAUUGUAAAAGGCCCAUAAUGUGGUUACUAAAAUCUGAUUUGGUGUAUACUAAACAAAAAUAUACUGCUCAAAAAAAUAAAGGGAACGCUUAAACAACACAUCCUAGAUCUGAAUGAAAGAAAUAAUCUUAUUAAAUACUUUUUUCUUUACAUAGUUGAAUGUGCUGACAACAAAAUCAUACAAAAAUAAUCAAUGGAAAUCCAAUUUAUCAACCCAUGAAGGUCUGGAUUUGAAGUCACACUCAAAAUUAAAGUGGAAAACCACACUACAGGCUGAUCCAACUUUGAUGUAAUGUCCUUAAAACAAGUCAAAAUGAGGCUCAGUAGUGUGUGUGGCCUCCACGUGCCUGUAUGACCUCCCUACAAUGCCUGGGCAUGCUCCUGAUGAGGUGGCGGAUGGUCUCCUGAGGGAUCUCCUCCCAGACCUGGACUAAAGCAUCCGCCAACUCUUGGACAGUCUGUGGUGCAACGUGGCGUUGGUGGAUGGAGCGAGACAUGAUGUCCCAGAUGUGCUCAAUUGGAUUCAGGUCUGGGGAACGGGCGGGCCAGUCCAUAGGAUCAAUGCCUUCCUCUUGCAGGAACUGCUGACACACUCCAGCCACAUGAGGUCUAGCAUUGUCUUGCAUUAGGAGGAACCCAGGGCCAACUGCACCAGCAUAUGGUCUCACAAGGGGUCUGAGGAUCUCAUCUCGGUACCUAAUGGCAGUCAGGCUACCUCUGGCGAGCACAUGGAGGGCUGUGCGGCCCCCCAAAGAAAUGCCACUCCACACCAUGACUGACCCACCGCCAAACCGGUCAUGCUGGAGGAUGUUGCAGGCAGCAGAACGUUCUCCACGGCGUCUCCAGACUCUGUCACGUCUGUCACGUGCUCAGUGUGAACCUGCUUUCAUCCGUGAAGAGCACAGGGCGCCAGUGGCGAAUUUGCCAAUCUUGGUGUACUCUGGCAAAUGCCAAACGUCCUGCACGGUGUUGGGCUGUAAGCACAACCCCCACCUGUGGACGUCGGGCCCUCAUACCACCCUCAUGGAGUCUGUUUCUGACCGUUUGAGCAGACACAUGCGCAUUUGUGGCCUGCUGGAGGUCAUUUUGCAGGGCUCUGGCAGUGCUUCUCCUGCUUCUCCUUGCACAAAGGCGGAGGUAGCGGACCUGCUGCUGGGUUGUUGCCCUCCUACGGCCUCCUCCACGUCUCCUGAUGUACUGGCCUGUCUCCUGGUAGCGCCUCCAUGCUCUGGACACUACGCUGACAGACACAGCAAACCUUCUUGCCACAGCUCGCAUUGAUGUGCCAUCCUGGAUGAGCUGCACUACCUGAGCCACUUGUGUGGGUUGUAGACUCCGUCUCAUGCUACCACUAGAGUGAAAGCACCGCCAGCAUUCAAAAGUGACCAAAACAUCAGCCAGGAAGCAUAGGAACUGAGAAGUGGUCUGUGGUCCCCACCUGCAGAACCACUCCUUUAUUGGGGGUGUCUUGCUAAUUGCCUAGAAUUUCCACCUGUUGUCUAUUCCAUUUGCACAACAACAUGUGAAAUUUAUUGUCAAUCAGUGUUGCUUCCUAAGUGGACAGUUUGAUUUCACAGAAGUGUGAUUGACUUGGAGUUACAUUGUGUUGUUUAAGUGUUCCCUUUAUUUUUUUGAGCAGUGGAUAAACGCAACAUGUAAAGGGUUGGUGCCAUGUUUCAUGUGUUCCAUAUGCACAAAAAGCCUAUUUCUCUCAAAUGUUGUGCACAAAUUAGUUUACGUCCCUGUUAGUGAGCAUUUUUCCUUUGUCAAGAUAAUCCAUCCACCUGACAGGUGUAACAUAUCAAGAAGCUGAUUAAACAGCAUGAUCAUUACACAGGUGAUCCUUGAGCAGGGGAAAAUAAAAGUCCUAAAAUGUGCAGUUUUGUCAAACAACACAAGGCCACAGAUGUCUCAAGUUUUGAGUGUGCAAUUGGCCUGCUGACUGCAGGAAUGUCUAGCAGAGCGGUUGCCAGAGAAUUGAAUGUUCAUUUAUCUACCAUAAGCUGCCUCCAACGUCUGUCAGAAAAUUUGCCAGUACGUCCAACCGACCUCACAACCGCAGACCACGUGUAACCACGCCAGCCCAGGAGCUCCACAUCAGGCUUCUUUAGCUGCGGGAUUGUCUGAGGAGGUUGUUGCUGAGGAGUAUUUUUUGUUUGUAAUAAAGCCCUUUUGUGGGGAAAAACUCAUUUGGAUUGGCUGGGCCUGGCUAUCCAGUAGGUGGCUGUGCCCCUGCCCAGUCAUAUGAAAUCCAUAGAUUAGCGCCAAAUACAUUGAUUUCAAUUGACUGAUUUCUUUCUAUGAACUGUAACUCGGUAAAAUAUUUCAAAAUGUUGCAUGUUGCGUUUAUAUUUUUGUUCAGUAUAUUUUGCUGUUUCUCUGCAUAACAUUUAAAAGUUGUUCCUUUUCAGGUUUAGAAGAAGUGACAGCUAAAUGCUAACUCCCGUUCGUAUAAGCUGUAUGCUAGCAUAGCUAGCAUACAGAAAUCAGUGUUGGUAGUCUUUUUUAACUGUAAUGCAGUCGAUUGAUGACGAUGACAUGAACAUGUAUUUGGGUUGACAUUUAUUGUAUACAAGCAUUAUACUCAGAUUUAUACAUCGGCAUAGUGUGAAAUACUGUACACAUAUAAACAAAGCCUAAAUGUAGGACCA